GUUAGGAAUAUUGGACAAUGGGCGCAAGCCUGAUCCAGCCAUGCCGCGUGAGUGAUGAAGGCCUUCGGGUCGUAAAGCUCUGUCGCAGGGGAAUAACACAAUGAAGGUACCCUGUAAGAAAGGAUCGGCUAACUUCGUGCCAGCAGCCGCGGUAAGACGAGGGAUCCUAGCGUUGUUCGGAAUCAUUGGGCGUAAAGCGGAUGUAGGUGGCUAUGUAAGUCAGAUGUGAAAGCCUGGGGCUCAACCCCAGAAGUGCAUUUGAUACUGCGUAGCUUGAGUGUCGGAGAGGUUACUAGAAUUGUUGGUGUAGUGGUGAAAUACGUAGAUAUCAACAGGAAUACCGGAGGCGAAGGCGGGUAACUGGCCGAACACUGACACUGAGAUCCGAAAGCGUGGGGAUCAAACAGGAUUAGAAACCCGUGUAGUCC
rnacentral:rRNA from 1 species